GAUGAACGCUGACAGAAUGCUUAACACAUGCAAGUCAUUGGCGAAGCUGCGCUUGCGCAGUCUAGCCAAGGCGGACGGGUGAGUAACGCGUAAGGAACUUGCCCUGCAGACAGGGAUAACAGACGGAAACGACUGAUAACACCUGGUAUUGUCAGGCUGGCGCAUGCCGGCCUGAUGAAAGGAUACGCUGCAGGAGAGCCUUGCGUCCUAUUAGCUAGUUGGUGGGGUAACGGCCCACCAAGGCGAUGAUAGGUAGCCGGCCUGAGAGGGUGAACGGCCACAAGGGGACUGAGAUACGGCCCUUACUCCUACGGGAGGCAGCAGUGGGGAAUAUUGGACAAUGGGGGCAACCCUGAUCCAGCAAUUCUGUGUGCACGAAGAAGGUUUUCGGAUUGUAAAGUGCUUUCAGCAGGGAAGAAGAAAGUGACGGUACCUGCAGAAGAAGCGACGGCUAAAUACGUG
rnacentral:rRNA from 1 species